UGUGUAGGGGGUUGGGGGGUGCGCAUUGCCUUCUGGUGCUGGCACCUGAGCGUGCAAGCGCGCGCAUAAUUUUUGGCACAGGAGC